UCUCCUUCCUUCUUCUCUUCUCCUUCAUAGCCUUCCUCUCCAGAGUUUUUGUGGUGACCAUGUAACAAUUUUUUCGCGAUUUUUCCAGCAACCUUUCUCACCAAAUUCUUAUUUUUAUCAUCAUGACUGUCUUCUGUCUUAUCGGCAUUGCUUUCAUCAUUAAUGAUCUCCUGAAUUUCUUUUGGCUUGUUUUGAGCUGCAGGUGGAUCAUCUUCGUGUUUGUGGUGUAUAUGUAGCUUCUCCUCGAUCUUGUGCAGAAUUCUUGACAUAUUGCUAGUCUAUA
rnacentral:lncRNA from 1 species